AUGUGUAUAUGAAAAUAUGUAUGCAAUUUGUUUCAUUAAUGAUAUGUUUCUAUCAAAAGUGCAAGUGUUAUUUCCCCUCCUGCUCGACACAUUCACCCACAGA